rnacentral:rRNA from 1 species
UACGAGGGGGGCAAGCGUUGUUCGGAAUUAUUGGGCGUAAAGGGCGCGUAGGCGGUGUCGCAAGUCCGUGGUGAAAUCUCUAGGCUCAACUUAGAGACUGCCGCGGAAACUGCGGUGCUUGAGUGUGGGAGAGGUGCGUGGAAUUCCAGGUGUAGCGGUGAAAUGCGUAGAUAUCUGGAGGAAUACCGGUGGCGAAGGCGGCAUCCUGGACCGACAUUGACGCUGAUGAGCGAAAGCUAGGGGAGCAAACGGG